UUGACACAAACAACAAAUUUUAAAACUAUAUUGUAAAUGCAACAAACGACAUGGGACAUUGUUGGAUAAUAACUCACAGCAAAUGAUAGAGCAAUAUUACACAGACCUGAGUCCUAGGACCAUGCCUCAGGACUACCUGGCAUGAUGACUCCUUGCUGUCCCCAGUCCACCUGGCCGUGCUGCUGCUCCAGUUUCAACUGUUCUGCCGGGGGCUAUGGAAUCCUGACCUGUUCACUGAACGUGCUACCUGUCCCAGACCUGCUGUUUUCAACUCUCUAGAGAGACACUCUUAAUGAUCGGCUAUGAAAAGCCAGCUGACAUUUACUCCUGAGGUGCUGACUUGCUGCACCCUCGACAACUACUGUGAUUAUUAUUAUUUGACCAUGCUGGUCAUUUAUGAACAUUUGAACAUCUUGGCCAUGUUCUGUUAUAAUCUCCACCCGGCACAGCCAGAAGAGGACUGGCGACCCCUCAGCCUGGUUCCUCUCUAGGUUUCUUCCUAGGUUUUGGCCUUUCUAGGGAGUUUUUCCUAGCCACCGUGUUUCUACACCUGCAUUGCUUGCUGUUUGGAGUUUUAGGCUGGGUUUCAGUACAGCACUUUAAGUUAUCAGCUGAUGUACGAAGGGCUAUAUAAAUACAUUUGAUUUGAUUUAGUGAAGACAUCUAAACUAUGAAAUAAUACAUAUGAAACAUGUGGUAACCAAAAAAGUGUAUAUUUGAGAUUCUUCAAAGUAACCACCCUUUGCCUGGAUGAUAGCUUUGCACACUCGUGGCAUUCUCAACCAGCUUCAUGAGGUAGUCACCUGGAAUGCAUUUCAAUUAACAGGUGUGCCGUGUAUUAAAAGUUCAUUUGUAGAAUUUCUUUCCUUAAUGCAUUUGAGCCAAUCAGUUGUGUUGUUACAAAGUAGGGGUAGUAUACAGAAGAUAACCCUAUUUGGUAAAAGACCAAGGAUCGGAGUAAAAUCCAGACCUUGCCUCGUAACAAGUUAUGUCCAGAGAACUUGACCUAAAAGGUGGAAAUGCCCAUUUCUGACCAAAGAGUAUAAAACAUGUGAGUUAAGAAUUAUGACUAGGUGACCACGAGCUGCAGCCAAGGUCCAAUUAGUUGUAACCCCAAAACGAGGUUGAAAACAAAGGAACCUUUUAACAAUCUAUGCUACGGAUGAGUAGCUGUGUCUAAGAGGGUGAAUUCAAGCAGGACCACCCGGUUAUUCUCUCCAAGGAAUCGUGUGUCUACACUGCUUUCAUUCCCACGCUGGAACCACCUAUAUGGCUGAUUAGCCGUCCUCAGAAAACCCCUCUUUCAGAACAAGGGCGAGGAAACGGAUCACUAAGACAAAGGACACUGACAUCUUGAGGACAGCGUUACACCCGGUAACCAAAGAAGUGCCGUCAGAGGAGAAGGCAAACCUGGUCCACAAAGAGACACCCCAUCGGAGACCUUCGACACGUAAUUACAUCAUUAUAUUCUGACCCAUAAGAGCAGCAGUUCGGGGCAAGGUUAGGUUUAAAAUAAGCAAAGUUUACAAAAUGUACCCAAGUUUGCUUUUCUUUCUCUUUUGAAAUCCCCAUUUUGUGUAACUCAUAAUGCGUUGGCCCACUAGGGACCUGUUUCAUUGUACUAAGUUCUAAUCAAUAGUCUAGACUGUGUGUGUAUGUGUAUCAUUUUAGCUUCUAGUAAAUUAAUAAUCAUCUCAGUUGGUGUGGUACGAACUUAUUUAGUGGGACUCGGGUUAGUGCAGAUUGACGGAUUAUGUGACGAUCAGAAUGAGACAGAGGAAAUGAAUUAGCGACUGUUGUAAAAUCGAUAUUCUGAUAGAUAAUUAGUUAAUUUGGGAAAUAGAAACUCAAAGCCAAACUAUCCCAUGAUGCCCCAGGUUACUGAGUUAAUAAUUACCCGAUUUAAUUUAAUCACGUAAUUAUAAACAGUUAAUCAUUUGAUGAAAAGCAGUCGUCACAUCAAUCAAUACAACAUCACAACAGUGGUUCCCACCAUGAAGAAUGGAGGUGGUGUGAUGGAGCUUUGCUGGUGACACUGUCUGAUUUAUUUAGAAUUCAAGGCACACUUAUCCAGCAUGGCUACCACAGCAGUCUGCAGCGAUACACCAUCCCAUCUGGUUUGCGCUGAGUGGGACUAUCAUUCGUUUUCAACAGGACAAUGACCCAACAACUCCAGGCUGUGUAAGGGCUAUUUGACCAAGAAGGAGAGUGAUGGAGUGCUGGAUCAGAUGACCUGGCCUCUACAAUCACCCAAUGAUUUUGAGAUGAUUUGGGAUUAGAUGGACCACAGAGAGUGAAGGAAAAGUAGCCAACAAAUGCUCAGCAUAUGUGGGAACUCCUUCAAGACUGUUGGAAAAGCAUUCCUGGUGAAGCUGGUUGAGAGAAUGCCAAGAGUGUGCAAAGCUGUCAAGGGAAAGAGUGGCUACUUUGAAGCAUCUCAAAUAUAUUUUGAUUUGUUUAACACUUUUUGGUUACUACAUGAUUCCAUGUGUGUUAUUUUAUCAUUUUGAUAUCUUCACUAUUAUUCAACAACGUGGAAAAAAGUACAAAUAAAUUAAAACCCUUGAAUGAG